UAUUAAACCUGAUAGAGCGGAAAGCCCACAGCGCAGCGAGGACUUGAAGAGAUAGCAGGACUGUCG
rnacentral:sRNA from 2 species